GACGAACUGUGCGAACGUUAUUCGGAAUCACUGGGCUUAAAGGGCGCGUAGGCGGGCCGAAAAGCCAGGGGUGAAAUCCUCCAGCCCAACUGGAGAAGCGCCUUUGGAACUGGCGGCCUCGAGGGGUGCAGGGGCAUGCGGAACUCAGGGUGGAGCGGUGAAAUGCGUAGAUAUCCUGAGGAACACCGGUGGCGAAAGCGGCGUGCUGGACACCUUCUGACGCUGAGGCGCGAAAGCCAGGGGAGCGAACGGG
rnacentral:rRNA from 1 species